rnacentral:rRNA from 1 species
GACGAACGCUGGCGGCGUGCUUAACACAUGCAAGUCGAGCGGUAAGGCCCUUUCGGGGUACACGAGCGGCGAACGGGUGAGUAACACGUGGGUGACCUGCCCUCAGCUCUGGGAUAAGCCUGGGAAACCGGGUCUAAUACCGGAUAUGACUCCAUGACGCAUGUUGUGGGGUGGAAAGCCUUGUGCGGCUGAGGAUGGGCCCGCGGCCUAUCAGCCUGUUGGUGGGGUGAUGGCCUACCAAGGCGACGACGGGUAGCCGGCCUGAGAGGGCGACCGGCCACACUGGGACUGAGACACGGCCCAGACUCC